AUUGAACGCUGGCGGCAGGCCUAACACAUGCAAGCCGAGCGGCAGCGGGUAGAAAGCUUGCUUUCUAUGCCGGCGAGCGGCGGACGGGUGAGGAAUACCUAGGAAUCUGUCCAUUAGUGGGGAAUAACCAGCCGCAAGGAUGGCUAAUAACGCAUACGCCCUACGGGGGAAAGGGGGGAUCUUCGGACCUCUCGCUAAUAGGUGAGCCUAGGUCGGAUUAGCUAGUUGGUGGGGUAAAGGCCUACCAAGGCGACGCUCCGUAGUUGGUCUGAGAGGAUGACCAGCCACACUGGGACUGAGACACGGCCCAGACUCCUACGGGAGGCAGCAGUGGGGAAUAUUGCACAAUGGGCGAAAGCCUGAUGCAGCCAUGCCGCGUGUGUGAAGAAGGCCUUCGGGUUGUAAAGCACUUUAGGCGGGGAGGAAAGGUUAACGAUUAAUACUCGUUAGCUGUGACGUUACCCGCAGAAUAAGCACCGGCUAACUCCGUGCCAGCAGCCGCGGUAA
rnacentral:rRNA from 1 species